GAUGAACGCUGGCGGCGUGCCUAAUACAUGCAAGUCGAGCGAACAGACGAGGAGCUUGCUCCUCUGACGUUAGCGGCGGACGGGUGAGUAACACGUGGAUAACCUACCUAUCAGACUGGGAUAACUUCGGGAAACCGGAGCUAAUGCCGGAUAACAUGUUGAACCGCAUGGUUCAACAGUGAAAGACGGUUUUGCUGUCACUUAUAGAUGGAUCCGCGCCGCAUUAGCUAGUUGGUAAGGUAACGGCUUACCAAGGCAACGAUGCGUAGCCGACCUGAGAGGGUGAUCGGCCACACUGGAACUGAGACACGGUCCAGACUCCUACGGGAGGCAGCAGUAGGGAAUCUUCCGCAAUGGGCGAAAGCCUGACGGAGCAACGCCGCGUGAGUGAAGAAGGUCUUCGGAUCGUAAAACUCUGUUAUUAGGGAAGAACAAAUGUGUAAGUAACUAUGCACGUCUUGACGGUACCUAAUCAGAAAGCCACGGCUAACUACGUG
rnacentral:rRNA from 1 species